UCUCGUUGAUCCUGCGAGAGGUCGCUGCUAUGGGGGUUCGGCUAAGCCAUGCAAGUCUGGGACCGCAAGGUUCCGGCGUAAUGCUCAGUAACACGUCAAUAAUCUAACUUUAAGUGGGGCAUAGCCUCGGGAAACUGAGGGUAAUUCCCCAUAGGGAACUUGUGCUGGAAUGCUAUUUUCCCGAAAGCUUCGGCGCUUAAAGACGAGUUGGCGGCUGAUUAGGUAGUUGGUGGGGUAAUGGCCUACCAAGCCGAAGAUCAGUAAGGGCCUUGAGAGAGGUUGCCCUGAGAAGGGUACUGAGACACUGACCCUAGCCCUACGGGGUGCAGCAGGCGCGAAAACUUUCCAAUGCACGCAAGUGUGAGAAGGGAACCCCUAGUGCCUAUACAAUGUAUAGGCUUUUGCCAAAGUUAAAACCCUUGGCGAAUAAGUGGUGGGCAAGACUGGUGCCAGCAGCCGCGGUAACCCCAGCGCCACAAGUAGCGAUCACUUUUAUUGGGCCUAAAGCGUCCGUAGCCGGUUCUGUAAAUCUUUUGUGAAAUCGUCAAGCUCAACUUGCCGAAGUGCAGAAGACACUGCAGAGCUAGGGACCGGGAGGGGUCAGGAGUAUGCCGGGGGGAGCGGUAAAAUGUUAUAAUCCUCGGUAGACUACCAGUGGCGAAGGCGCCUGACCAGAACGGAUUCGACGGUGAGGGACGAAAGCUAGGGGAGCAAAACGGAUUAGAUACCCGUGUAGUCCUAGCUGUAAACUCUGCGAACUAGGUGUUGCAUAUUCUAUAUGAAUGUGCAGUGUCGGAGUGAAGAUGUUAAGUUCGCCGCCUGGGAAGUACGGUCGCAAGGCUGAAACUUAAAGGAAUUGGCGGGGGAGCACUACAAGGGGUGCGGCGUGCGGUUUAAUCCAAUUCAACACGGAGAAUCUCACCAGAGGCGACGGCAGGAUGACGGUCAAGCUGAUGACUUUACCUGACGAGCCGAGAGGAGGUGCAUGGCCGCCGCCAGCUCGUGCCGUAAGGUGUCCUGUUAAGUCAGGCAACGAGCAAGACCUAUGCUUACAAUUGCUAACGAGCCCUUUAGGGUGAUUGAGCCAAUUGUAGGGACUGCCCGCGUAAGUGGGAGGAAGGCGUAGGCAACGGUAGGUCCGUAUGCCCCGAAUCUUCUGGGCUACACGCGCGCAACAAUGGUAGGGACAAUGGGAUGCAACCCCGAAAGGGGUAGCUAAACCUCUAAACCCUAUCCCAGUCCGGAUUGAGCUUUGUAACUCAGGCUCAUGACGUCGGAAUCCCUAGUAAUCAGAAGUAAUCAUCUUCUGGUGAAUACGUCCCUGCUCCUUGCACACACCGCCCGUCAAACCAACCGAGCAGGGUUUAGGUGAGGAUUGGCUUUUUGGUCAAGACGAAUCUAAGCUCAGUGAGGUGGGUUAAGUCGUCACAAGGUA
rnacentral:rRNA from 1 species